rnacentral:rRNA from 1 species
CCAGAGGGGGACAACAGUUGGAAACGACUGCUAAUACCGCAUACGAUCCAAUCUCGGCAUCGAGGAUGGAUGAAAGGUGGCCUCUAUUUAUAAGCUAUCACUGAAGGAGGGGAUUGCGUCUGAUUAGCUAGUUGGAGGGGUAACGGCCCACCAAGGCGAUGAUCAGUAGCCGGUCUGAGAGGAUGAACGGCCACAUUGGGACUGAGACACGGCCCAG